AGCCCUAAGGACUUAUUUAGGGUGAAACCUGCCCAGUGAUUUCAACGGCCGCGGUACUCUGACCGUGCUAAGGUAGCAUAAUCAAUUGACUUUUAAAUGGAGUCUGGAAUGAACGGGAUAACGGGCUCUAGCUGUCUCAAUUUUUUUAAUUGGAAGUUACUAACUAAGUGAAAAAGCUUAGAUAAGAAAAAAGACGAGAAGACCCUAAGAGUUUAUACAUUUUGUUGGGGCGACAGGGGAUGUUAACAUCCCUCUCUAUAUGACGGAUAUUUCAUGAAGAGACAAACUACCUUAGGGAUAACAGCAUAAUUUUUUUAAGUUUGUGACCUCGAUGUUGGACUAGGAAGCUUUUAGGCUAGCUGCCUAAACUGGGGAUUCUGUUCGAAUUUUAACUCCU
rnacentral:rRNA from 1 species